rnacentral:rRNA from 1 species
GACGUAGGGGGCCAGCGUUGUUCGGAAUUACUGGGUGUAAAGGGUUCGUAGGCGGUGCGGCAAGUCGGGAGUGAAAUCUCUGGGCUCAACCCAGAGGCUGCUUCCGAAACUGCUGUGCUUGAGUGUGGGAGAGGCGCGUGGAAUUGCAGGUGUAGCGGUGAAAUUCGUAGAUAUCGGGAGGAACACCGGUGGCGAAGGCGGCGACCUGGGUCGAUACUGACGCUGAGGUGCGAAAGCGUGGGGAGCAAACAGG